CUGGAUCUCCUCCUCUCUGAGCUCUAAAAGUUCAUGUGGGAGUUCACCAUUUGAGGCUAAAACAGUCCUUGGAGUAUUCUUCAAUUUAUCCACUGGCCAAGUGUAGUUGUCAGGCCUAUAAAUUGUCAGUGCCGAUGCUACUUCAGAAAACAUCAGGCAUGUAGGGCAGCAACGUGUUCCCUCCACAUCUGGCGAUCCCUUGCCAUGAACUUGAUGCCCUCCCAGGUCUUCCCCAUCUUCUUUAUUUCCUUCUCAACUGUCCGUCGCCAUGUGAUCUUGGGGCGACCCUGCUUGCGUUUCCCUUCUGGCGUCCAAUGCAUAGCAGUUUUUGCAAUGGAAGCUUCUUGGCGGAUGACAUGGCCAAUCCACCUCCAGCGUCUCCUCAUCAGGAUGGUAGCCAUUGAUUCGGUUCCACACCGUUCAAAAAGAUCUUUGUUGGAAAUGACAUACUCCAACUGUACCUUGAAAUAAUUACUUUAUGUUACAACUUUAAACGAUUUGCAUGAAAAUGCCCAGUUAAAGGGACAGAAAGCUAAAGCCUUGGACAUUGUUAAGAAGGGGAAACCUGUGCUUAGACAGUGGCAAAAGGUGGCAACUUGUGAGUUAAGCCUGGAAGAGAUGAAAUUUUCUGCCUCCGAAGUAAAAUCUCUAAGACCUGUCCAGGAGGCCAUCGUUAAAUUCUUCAAGAUCAGCACAUGGGAAGAGGCUAUUGACGAAUUUAAAAGCGCCGUAUCAUCUGAAAAGUUGUUGCAGUUUGCUAAUCCUGAUGAUGUAAUAAGUACUGUUACCCGCAUUAAUUUCUGUAAGCUCACAUCAUCCAACGUUGUUUUAUUUACAAUGGCUGAAGGUGUGAAAAAUCUAAAAGAAAAAAUGUUAAAAGAGGGCGCUACACUGGUACAGCAUGGCUACUUUUACGUCCC